AUGAGUAGGGCGGGACACGUGGUAUCCUGUCUGAAUAUGGGGGGACCAUCCUCCAAGGCUAAAUACUCCUGACUGACCGAUAGUGAACCAGUACCGUGAGGGAAAGGCGAAAAGAACCCCGGCGAGGGGAGUGAAAAAGAACCUGAAACCGUGUACGUACAAGCAGUGGGAGCACAGGUUUACCUGUGUGACUGCGUACCUUUUGUAUAAUGGGUCAGCGACUUAUAUUCUGUAGCAAGGUUAACCGUAUAGGGGAGCCGAAGGGAAACCGAGUCUUAACCGGGCGUUAAGUUGCAGGGUAUAGACCCGAAACCCGGUGAUCUAGCCAUGGGCAGGUUGAAGGUUGGGUAACACUAACUGGAGGACCGAACCGACUAAUGUUGAAAAAUUAGCGGAUGACCUGUGGCUGGGGGUGAAAGGCCAAUCAAACCGGGAGAUAGCUGGUUCUCCCCGAAAGCUAUUUAGGUAGCGCCUCGUGAAUUCAUCUCCGGGGGUAGAGCACUGUUUCGGCUAGGGGGCCAUCCCGGCUUACCAACCCGAUGCAAACUGCGAAUACCGGAGAAUGUUAUCACGGGAGACACACGGCGGGUGCUAACGUCCGUCGUGAAGAGGGAAACAACCCAGACCGCCAGCUAAGGUCCCAAAGUCAUGGUUAAGUGGGAAACGAUGUGGGAAGGCCCAGACAGCCAGGAUGUUGGCUUAGAAGCAGCCAUCAUUUAAAGAAAGCGUAAUAGCUCACUGGUCGAGUCGGCCUGCGCGGAAGAUGUAACGGGGCUAAACCAUGCACCGAAGCUGCGGCAGCGACACUGUGUGUUGUUGGGUAGGGGAGCGUUCUGUAAGCCUGUGAAGGUGUGUCGUGAGGCAUGCUGGAGGUAUCAGAAGUGCGAAUGCUGACAUAAGUAACGAUAAAGCGGGUGAAAAGCCCGCUCGCCGGAAGACCAAGGGUUCCUGUCCAACGUUAAUCGGGGCAGGGUGAGUCGACCCCUAAGGCGAGGCCGAAAGGCGUAGUCGAUGGGAAACGGGUUAAUAUUCCCGUACUUGGUGUUACUGCGAAGGGGGGACGGAGAAGGCUAUGUUGGCCGGGCGACGGUUGUCCCGGUUUAAGCGUGUAGGUGUGUGUUCCAGGUAAAUCCGGUUCACUUUAACACUGAGGCGUGAUGACGAGGCACUACGGUGCUGAAGCAACAAAUGCCCUGCUUCCAGGAAAAGCCUCUAAGCAUCAGGUAACAUCAAAUCGUACCCCAAACCGACACAGGUGGUCAGGUAGAGAAUACCAAGGCGCUUGAGAGAACUCGGGUGAAGGAACUAGGCAAAAUGGUGCCGUAACUUCGGGAGAAGGCACGCUGACACGUAGGUGAAGUGAUUUACUCAUGGAGCUGAAGUCAGUCGAAGAUACCAGCUGGCUGCAACUGUUUAUUAAAAACACAGCACUGUGCAAACACGAAAGUGGACGUAUACGGUGUGACGCCUGCCCGGUGCCGGAAGGUUAAUUGAUGGGGUCAGCGCAAGCGAAGCUCCUGAUCGAAGCCCCGGUAAACGGCGGCCGUAACUAUAACGGUCCUAAGGUAGCGAAAUUCCUUGUCGGGUAAGUUCCGACCUGCACGAAUGGCGUAAUGAUGGCCAGGCUGUCUCCACCCGAGACUCAGUGAAAUUGAACUCGCUGUGAAGAUGCAGUGUACCCGCGGCAAGACGGAAAGACCCCGUGAACCUUUACUAUAGCUUGACACUGAACAUUGAGCCUUGAUGUGUAG
rnacentral:rRNA from 1 species